AGAAGGCAAGUCUCAUCUAAAAAUCAAAUUAGAGAAAAAAAGCUGUCAAAGACUUCAUGACAUGCUUGGCAUGCAAUUUGAGUCGACUCAGUGGAUGUUUGAGCCAACUCAGUAUCAAUGACAGAAAACUAAGUUUUUGGAUGUAGGAGACUUAGUCAAUCCAGAUUCAGCUUAGUCGACUAAGACAGAAUCUUUGUCGACUCAGUCAAGAAGUUAGUUGACUCAGUCUC
rnacentral:lncRNA from 1 species